GGCGCUAUAGCCAAGUGGUUACGGCGACAGAUUAGAAUUUCAAAUGCACGUUGUCUCUUCCCGAGAUCGUCAUUUCAGUUCUGAUAUCUGUUCCUCUUUGAGGGCGCAGGUUCAAAUCCUGCUGGCGUCG